rfam:Myotis lucifugus cont2.41987, whole genome shotgun sequence.
CCCACCCCAUACCUUACCAGUUGUCUGUUGGCUGGUGCAAUCCAGUAGUGAGCUAAUUCCAAAUUCCAGCUUAGGAAACAGGCUUGUUCUACAUGUGCAUAGCUCUGUGCAGAAAGCAUGGGAACAGUC